AGAGUUUGAUCCUGGCUCAGGAUGAACGCUAGCUACAGGCUUAACACAUGCAAGUCGAGGGGCAGCACAGGUAGCAAUACCGGGUGGCGACCGGCGCACGGGUGAGUAACGCGUAUGCAACUUGCCUAUCAGAGGGGGAUAACCCGGCGAAAGUCGGACUAAUACCGCAUGAAGCAGGGGCCCCGCAUGGGGAUAUUUGCUAAAGAUUCAUCGCUGAUAGAUAGGCAUGCGUUCCAUUAGGCAGUUGGCGGGGUAACGGCCCACCAAACCGACGAUGGAUAGGGGUUCUGAGAGGAAGGUCCCCCACAUUGGUACUGAGACACGGACCAAACUCCUACGGGAGGCAGCAGUGAGGAAUAUUGGUCAAUGGGCGUAAGCCUGAACCAGCCAAGUCGCGUGAGGGAUGAAGGUUCUAUGGAUCGUAAACCUCUUUUAUAAGGGAAUAAAGUGCGGGACGUGUCCCGUUUUGUAUGUACCUUAUGAAUAAGGAUCGGCUAACUCCGUGCCAGCAGCCGCGGUAAUACGGAGGAUCCGAGCGUUAUCCGGAUUUAUUGGGUUUAAAGGGAGCGUAGGUGGACUGGUAAGUCAGUUGUGAAAGUUUGCGGCUCAACCGUAAAAUUGCAGUUGAUACUGUCAGUCUUGAGUACAGUAGAGGUGGGCGGAAUUCGUGGUGUAGCGGUGAAAUGCUUAGAUAUCACGAAGAACUCCGAUUGCGAAGGCAGCUCACUGGACUGCAACUGACACUGAUGCUCGAAAGUGUGGGUAUCAAACAGGAUUAGAUACCCUGGUAGUCCACACAGUAAACGAUGAAUACUCGCUGUUUGCGAUAUACAGUAAGCGGCCAAGCGAAAGCAUUAAGUAUUCCACCUGGGGAGUACGCCGGCAACGGUGAAACUCAAAGGAAUUGACGGGGGCCCGCACAAGCGGAGGAACAUGUGGUUUAAUUCGAUGAUACGCGAGGAACCUUACCCGGGCUUAAAUUGCAGUGGAAUGAUGUGGAAACAUGUCAGUGAGCAAUCACCGCUGUGAA
rnacentral:rRNA from 1 species